rnacentral:rRNA from 1 species
UACGGAGGGUGCGAGCGUUGUCCGGAAUCAUUGGGCGUAAAGGGCGCGUAGGUGGCUUCUUAAGCGUGCGGUGAAAGCCUGGGGCUCAACCCCGGGUCGGCCGUGCGAACUGGGGGGCUGGAGCACUGUAGAGGCAGGCGGAAUUCCGGGUGUAGCGGUGGAAUGCGUAGAGAUCCGGAAGAACACCGGUGGCGAAGGCGGCCUGCUGGGCAGUUUUGCUGACACUGAGGCGCGACAGCGUGGGGAGCAAACAGG